rnacentral:rRNA from 1 species
GACAGAGGUGCCAAGCGUUAGGCGGAAUCACUGGGCUUAAAGCGUGUGUAGGCGGAAUGGUAAGUACCUUGUGAAAUCCCACGGCUCAACCGUGGAACUGCUGGGUAUACUGCCCUUCUUGAGCCACUUAGGGGCUGUCGGAACAAACGGUGGAGCGGUGAAAUGCGUAGAUAUCUGGAGGAACACCGGAGGCGAAAGCGGUCCACUGGGCAACUUCUGACGCUGAGGUGCGAAAGCUAGGGUAGCAAACGGG